rnacentral:rRNA from 1 species
UACGUAGGCAGCAAGCGUUGUUCGGAGUUACUGGGCGUAAAGGGUGUGUAGGCGGUUGCUUAAGUUUGGUGUGAAAUCUCCCGGCUCAACUGGGAGGGUGCGCCGAAUACUAAGUGACUCGAGUGCGGGAGAGGAAAGUGGAAUUCCUGGUGUAGCGGUGAAAUGCGUAGAUAUCAGGAGGAACACCGGUGGUGUAGACGGCUUUCUGGACCGUAACUGACGCUGAAACACGAAAGCGUGGGUAGCAAACAGG